AGAGUUUGAUCCUGGCUCAGACUGAACGCUAGCGGGACGCCUUACACAUGCAAGUCGAACGGCAGCACGAGAGAGCUUGCUCUCUUGGUGGCGAGUGGCGGACGGGUGAGUAAUAUAUCGGAACGUGCCCAGUAGCGGGGGAUAACUACUCGAAAGAGUGGCUAAUACCGCAUACGCCCUACGGGGGAAAGGGGGGGAUCGCAAGACCUCUCACUAUUGGAGCGGCCGAUAUCGGAUUAGCUAGUUGGUGGGGUAAAGGCUCACCAAGGCAACGAUCCGUAGCUGGUUUGAGAGGACGACCAGCCACACUGGGACUGAGACACGGCCCAGACUCCUACGGGAGGCAGCAGUGGGGAAUUUUGGACAAUGGGGGAAACCCUGAUCCAGCCAUCCCGCGUGUAUGAUGAAGGCCUUCGGGUUGUAAAGUACUUUUGGCAGAGAAGAAAAGGCAUCCCCUAAUACGGGAUGCUGCUGACGGUAUCUGCAGAAUAAGCACCGGCUAACUACGUGCCAGCAGCCGCGGUAAUACGUAGGGUGCAAGCGUUAAUCGGAAUUACUGGGCGUAAAGCGUGUGUAGGCGGUUCGGAAAGAAAGAUGUGAAAUCCCAGGGCUCAACCUUGGAACUGCAUUUUUAACUGCCGAGCUAGAGUAUGUCAGAGGGGGGUAGAAUUCCACGUGUAGCAGUGAAAUGCGUAGAUAUGUGGAGGAAUACCGAUGGCGAUGGCAGCCCCCUGGGAUAAUACUGACGCUCAGACACGAAAGCGUGGGGAGCAAACAGGAUUAGAUACCUUGGUAGUCCACGCCCUAAACG
rnacentral:rRNA from 1 species